ACAUUGUGUGCAAUGCAAAGGUUAGGCAUACAUAAUUCAGGCCUAAAAUUAAUCCUGAAGCCAAAAAGCUACAGGGAAGUGGAACAAAAGGAAUCGGAGCCUCUGGGACACCAAAGAGGGCUCUUGGAGAGGAGAGGGCAGUUGCCUGAAAUAGUCAACAGAUGGAGCUGGGGGGCUGCGAACCCCUCCGAUUUCAGCGGGCAGCGGGGGACUUUUGCGCAGGGAGCUGGGCUUCCCGCUGGCGGCGGGAGUCAGUGCUUCAGGCGCACGCUGAUCAAAGAUACGCGCCCGCCACACGCAGUCCUGGGAUCGCGGUCAGAGAAAUACGAUUCCAGCCUGAGGAAAGCGUGAGCCGCUGACGGCACAGUGAAGUGUGCAGGUCCUGCGGAGGCUCUGACGCAGCCCGAGGACCAAGCCAGCCCUUUCUGUACCUCUAGUCCUUGAGGAUCUGGGUCACGGAGAACCAGAGGCGGGACCUCGAGAGGUACUGGCUUUGGAACCCACAGGAAAUCUCUUCCUUCUAUUUUAUUUAUUUACUUAUAUGCCUCUUAUUUAUAAAUGAUCUCAUCCGGCCAGAAUCGGCACUUUCUCUAACAAAGAAAAUUUUUUUUGUCCAUAAAUGGAAAUAAAAAUCAGCUAGGAAUAUCCCCAUUGCUGUGCCUGACAUAACUGGAGCGAACGAGGGCCUUGGAGGGCCGCCUAAAAUUGGUGGUAGGGCUAUAGCUCCUGGGGAGGGGAACCGCCGCUCUUCCCUUAUGAGGAGGCAGGGCUGAAGCUCCAAGAAAAUGAGAACCAGCUCUGCCUGGUUUGACUCAUCAUUUUGUCCACCGGCCACAGUGCCCGGCGCGCAGUAGGUGCUGAAUACUUUACCGUUCAUUGGAUGAACGAACAAAUGAAUGACUUAAAGCCAUUGUGGUCUUGGAAGCAAGAUAAGAAGACUUUGAGCCUCACGGAUCUAUAUUUAAAUUCUGGCUCCUAAAUCCUGUCAGUGACAAUGUACUGGGCAAGUUAUUUGACCUCCUCUGGCCACUAGUUCUUCAACAAUAAUGUGCCAUAUUCGUUGCUAUAUUCUCAGUGCCUGGAAAGUAAUAGAUGCUCAAUAAAUACUCUGUGUAAAUGGGACAUUUUGCAUCAGCUUUCUUGUUUGUAAAAGAGGUACCAAGACAUCUACCCAGGAGAAUUAACUGUUAAGAAGAUCAAACGUGAUAAUAUAUUUAAAGUUCCUGGCUCACAAAAAGUGUUGAACAAAUAUAUGGUGACUAUUAUUUUUGUUGGCCGACAUCCCCACUGCCCUCUGUUCCAGUAAUCCAGGUAGUUCUCAGAUGUGAAGCUGGGACCCAACGCUAUGGACUUCUCCCAGGAAGUAGCUGUCUGUGCUAUGCCUUCUCUCUCCUACUCACCUUCUAAGCAUCUGAGCUUGCACUCAGUUAUUCAAGCGAUGUCCUGACUGGGGAGGCUGUGAUCAGAGAACAUUAUCCACUUUAGCUCAGGCUGAAAUUCCAGCUGACAACAGAAACAAAGGCAGUCUCAGUGCUCAGUCAGUAAGAAGGCAAAUUACUUCCUGGGAGUCAGGCCUCUUUCCAACCAUAGCCCGUACGAGGCCCACAAAAAGAACAUGGCAGUCUAAGCUCAUCCCUCUGAAAGAUGCAACAGACCAAACUCCAGGUUUCAGAGGGCUUCCUGGUUUGCAAGAUUCUCCCCGAAGCUAAUCCUGGCAUUGGCUUCCUUGAAUUUUCCUUUGGGAAAGAUACCAAUGGGAAUUUCCACCUCAGGAUUGGACAAUCGUGACUUCAGAUCUACAGAGGAAGUUUCAAGGGAAAUCUAAAUUUCAGGACUAUCUGGAAGCUCCCAAGAAGCAGACAUCUGUAACUCUAGAGCUUUGUAAGAUGAGCCAGGACAAUUUUCUUUCCAGAGUGCUUAAAGGCAGCCUUGCCUGGAGAAUUUCUAAAGAGUCAUUCGAUUUCAUGUUUCAGUAAGAUGAUGACACAGAGAAAACCCAACAGCAACGCAAUUACUUGAAGAUCGUUCUUCUGUUUAGGGGGAAUGGAUUGGAAACAUCUUUUAAGGAAGAGUGAGUUUUGGCUGAAAUCUCUCUGUAUUAAAAACUUGCCCAGCAAGGCAUCAAGAUGGCCUCCGGCCGGAGACUGAAUCAUCUUUGCAUGACAUCUACAUGCCCUACUUGUGCGAGUCCUCAGGGAACAGGGCAGAACUUCCAUUCCAGAUCCAAGAGGAUGGUGUGGCAACCUUUCCCAUCCAUGUGCCUAAGGAUCCUGACGUGGAAAGAGAUGAUACCACCUUCCCCCGCACAGCUCAUUCUAGUUAUUCAUACUCCUAGAACUGGGAAGCUCAUAAUCUACUCCUGUCUAACUGCUGUUUGUAGAAAUACAUUUGUCAGAGCCUACCAGAGCCAUAGACAGUGUGAAGAACAAAGAGGGUGUCCAGUGGGGGAGAGUCCUAGAAAUCCCCCAAAUGAGGAGAUUGUAAGUAGGUUUGUUUCAUGACUCCUUUUCUAUAGGAACCUGCCCCACGUAUGCAUCCCUAGUAUUGGACAACUCCAAAGAAAAUGUCCCCUCACCCCUCACUCAUCUACCAAGAAUUCAAACAGGAAAUGAUGGAAGAUCCUUCCACACUGUCCCAGUUCGUACUCAACUAUUGUUUUUUUAUUAUCUGGCUUGACAAAUUAAAAAAAAAAAAGUGUACAGAUAAAUGAA